rnacentral:rRNA from 1 species
CGGGACACGUGGUAUCCUGUCUGAAUAUGGGGGGACCAUCCUCCAAGGCUAAAUACUCCUGACUGACCGAUAGUGAACCAGUACCGUGAGGGAAAGGCGAAAAGAACCCCGGCGAGGGGAGUGAAAAAGAACCUGAAACCGUGUACGUACAAGCAGUGGGAGCACGCUUAGGCGUGUGACUGCGUACCUUUUGUAUAAUGGGUCAGCGACUUAUAUUCUGUAGCAAGGUUAACCGAAUAGGGGAGCCGAAGGGAAACCGAGUCUUAACUGGGCGUUAAGUUGCAGGGUAUAGACCCGAAACCCGGUGAUCUAGCCAUGGGCAGGUUGAAGGUUGGGUAACACUAACUGGAGGACCGAACCGACUAAUGUUGAAAAAUUAGCGGAUGACUUGUGGCUGGGGGUGAAAGGCCAAUCAAACCGGGAGAUAGCUGGUUCUCCCCGAAAGCUAUUUAGGUAGCGCCUCGUGAAUUCAUCUCCGGGGGUAGAGCACUGUUUCGGCAAGGGGGUCAUCCCGACUUACCAACCCGAUGCAAACUGCGAAUACCGGAGAAUGUUAUCACGGGAGACACACGGCGGGUGCUAACGUCCGUCGUGAAGAGGGAAACAACCCAGACCGCCAGCUAAGGUCCCAAAGUCAUGGUUAAGUGGGAAACGAUGUGGGAAGGCCCAGACAGCCAGGAUGUUGGCUUAGAAGCAGCCAUCAUUUAAAGAAAGCGUAAUAGCUCACUGGUCGAGUCGGCCUGCGCGGAAGAUGUAACGGGGCUAAACCAUGCACCGAAGCUGCGGCAGCGACGCUGAUGCGUUGUUGGGUAGGGGAGCGUUCUGUAAGCCUGUGAAGGUGUGCUGUGAGGCAUGCUGGAGGUAUCAGAAGUGCGAAUGCUGACAUAAGUAACGAUAAAGCGGGUGAAAAGCCCGCUCGCCGGAAGACCAAGGGUUCCUGUCCAACGUUAAUCGGGGCAGGGUGAGUCGACCCCUAAGGCGAGGCCGAAAGGCGUAGUCGAUGGGAAACAGGUUAAUAUUCCUGUACUUGGUGUUACUGCGAAGGGGGGACGGAGAAGGCUAUGUUGGCCGGGCGACGGUUGUCCCGGUUUAAGCGUGUAGGCUGGUUUUCCAGGCAAAUCCGGAAAAUCAAGGCUGAGGCGUGAUGACGAGGCACUACGGUGCUGAAGCAACAAAUGCCCUGCUUCCAGGAAAAGCCUCUAAGCAUCAGGUAACAUCAAAUCGUACCCCAAACCGACACAGGUGGUCAGGUAGAGAAUACCAAGGCGCUUGAGAGAACUCGGGUGAAGGAACUAGGCAAAAUGGUGCCGUAACUUCGGGAGAAGGCACGCUGAUAUGUAGGUGAAGCGACUUGCUCGUGGAGCUGAAAUCAGUCGAAGAUACCAGCUGGCUGCAACUGUUUAUUAAAAACACAGCACUGUGCAAACACGAAAGUGGACGUAUACGGUGUGACGCCUGCCCGGUGCCGGAAGGUUAAUUGAUGGGGUCAGCGCAAGCGAAGCUCUUGAUCGAAGCCCCGGUAAACGGCGGCCGUAACUAUAACGGUCCUAAGGUAGCGAAAUUCCUUGUCGGGUAAGUUCCGACCUGCACGAAUGGCGUAAUGAUGGCCAGGCUGUCUCCACCCGAGACUCAGUGAAAUUGAACUCGCUGUGAAGAUGCAGUGUACCCGCGGCAAGACGGAAAGACCCCGUGAACCUUUACUAUAGCUUGACACUGAACAUUGAGCCUUGAUGUGUAGGAUAGGUGGGAGGCUUUGAAGUGUGGACGCCAGUCUGCAUGGAGCCGGCCUUGAAAUACCACCCUUUAAUGUUUGAUGUUCUAACGUUGACCCGUGAUCCGGGUUGCGGACAGUGUCUGGUGGGUAGUUUGACUGGGGCGGUCUCCUCCUAAAGAGUAACGGAGGAGCACGAAGGUUGGCUAAUCCUGGUCGGACAUCAGGAGGUUAGUGCAAUGGCAUAAGCCAGCUUGACUGCGAGCGUGACGGCGCGAGCAGGUGCGAAAGCAGGUCAUAGUGAUCCGGUGGUUCUGAAUGGAAGGGCCAUCGCUCAACGGAUAAAAGGUACUCCGGGGAUAACAGGCUGAUACCGCCCAAGAGU